rnacentral:lncRNA from 1 species
AAAAAAAAAAGCUUACAGUUUUCAGAUGUUUGUUUUUGUGAGAGGGUGGUGGGGUGGGCACACACGAUGGCCGGGUACACUGUCUGGGUUUGGUAGAUACAUAGACGGCAGUGAGGAGAGUACAUGACUGCUGUUUAGCUGAGCGUGGGAUGAUCUUGGGGAACCGGACUGCACCUCUGCUCCCGUGUCCUUACCAUGCCUACAUACUCUCACAGUGAGAGGCAGCAAAAACCUCUUGUUUUCCAGCCAUAUAUACUGGGAAAAGCACUGAGGAAUAGGGUCCAAAUUUUAUUAAUUUGGUAUAUCGAUCCAGCAAUGAACUGCAAAGAAAACCAGUACAUUUUCCUUAAACCUGGAACUACGAUAAGAUGAGCAGUAGGAAAGAGUAGAAAUGCGUUUCCGUUCUACUGAUGAAUGAGCAGGAAACUUAAGACAGGGAGCAACGUUUGAAAACCUUUAGAAAGGAAGUAGCGCUGUGAUUGGGGUAAAUUUUAGGAAAACCAGUUCUUUGCAUCAGAGUCCUAAGAAAUGAAAGGUGCUUAGUAAUGAAUAGUUUAAUUGGUAUUUUUAGGGAAAGACAUAGUUCUACAAAGAAUAGUAACAGUUCUUCUCUAUUUUAGAGUGUUAAGGAUGAAGACUUAUUAUGUAAAAGUAUCAGAAGAUACUGAAUCUAAUAUUUGUCGUUUUUAGCAUGGAGUUUUUUCUGGUUCCUGAGACAUUAAGUCGAAUUGUAGAGUAAUACUCUGGAGGCUGUGUCCAGUGUGCUGUGUCUUCUGUGUGUCCGAGUUGACGUAGAUCCCACUUACUGUCUCUUGCAGAGGUUACAGAUGCCCAUUGUGUAUGCAUUCUGCCCUAGACAUGACUCGGUACUGGAGACAAUUAGACAUUGAGGUAGCACAGACUCCUAUGCCAUCCGAAUACCAGAACGUGACCGUUGAUAUUCUCUGCAAUGACUGUAAUGGACGAUCCACAGUCCAGUUCCAUAUCUUAGGCAUGAAAUGUAAGCUUUGUGACUCCUACAAUACUGCUCAGGCUGGAGGCCGCACAGUGUCCAUGGAUGAGCAGUGAGAAGCCUGUCCUUGGCUGGAGAACAGCUCUGG